AGGAAUAUUGGUCAAUGGACGCAAGUCUGAACCAGCCAUGCCGCGUGCAGGAUGACGGCUCUAUGAGUUGUAAACUGCUUUUGUACGAGGGUAAACGCAGAUACGUGUAUCUGUCUGAAAGUAUCGUACGAAUAAGGAUCGGCUAACUCCGUGCCAGCAGCCGCGGUAAUACGGAGGAUUCAAGCGUUAUCCGGAUUUAUUGGGUUUAAAGGGUGCGUAGGCGGUUUGAUAAGUUAGAGGUGAAAUUUCGGGGCUCAACCCUGAACGUGCCUCUAAUACUGUUGAGCUAGAGAGUAGUUGCGGUAGGCGGAAUGUAUGGUGUAGCGGUGAAAUGCUUAGAGAUCAUACAGAACACCGAUUGCGAAGGCAGCUUACCAAACUAUAUCUGACGUUGAGGCACGAAAGCGUGGGGAGCAAACAGGAUUAGAUACCCUGGUAGUCCACGCAGUAAACGAUGAUAACUCGUUGUCGGCGAUACACAGUCGGUGACUAAGCGAAAGCGAUAAGUUAUCCACCUGGGGAGUACGUUCGCAAGAAUGAAACUCAAAGGAAUUGACGGGGGCCCGCACAAGCGGAGGAACAUGUGGUUUAAUUCGAUGAUACGCGAGGAACCUUACCCGGGCUUGAAAGUUAGCGACGAUUCUUGAAAGAGGAUUUCCCUUCGGGGCGCGAAACUAGGUGCUGCAUGGUUGUCGUCAGCUCGUGCCGUGAGGUGUCGGGUUAAGUCCCAUAACGAGCGCAACCCCUACCGUUAGUUGCCAUCAGGUCAAGCUGGGCAUUCUGGCGGGACUGCCGGUGUAAGCCGAGAGGAAGGUGGGGAUGACGUCAAAUCAGCACGGCCCUUACGUCCGGGGCUACACACGUGUUACAAUGGUAGGUACAGAGGGCAGCUACCCAGCGAUGGGAUGCGAAUCUCGAAAGCCUAUCUCAGUUCGGAUUGGAGGCUGAAACCCGCCUCCAUGAAGUUGGAUUCGCUAGUAAUCGCGCAUCAGCCAUGGCGCGGUGAAUACGUUCCCG
rnacentral:rRNA from 1 species